GUUUUUCCUAAUGUACCAAAUUGUUGCUAUUAUCAUUCUAAAUUUCCUUAGUUUACUUGCCACCAAAAAUAGGCUCCAAUGAGUUAACUCAUAAAGAAGAGAGCUUGUACUUUUUUAAAAUAUUUUUUCAGCAUACCAAAGUAGGCUUAAUUAUCACAUUUCAGCAGUAUACAGUAGAAAGGGUUGUUUAAAACACUCCUGGAUAAAUAGCAGAUGCAUUCUUUAAACUGUUAAUCUCAUCCUUGCCAAUACUCUGUUGCAAUAGCUGUGUGAUAGUGAUAGAUGAAGAAAUGUGAGAUCUUUACUGGAUUUUGGAUCAGAACAAGACAAGACAACUUUAGGAACAUACUUCUUGUGAUAUGCUCAGUGUGCCUCAUGCAACGAGCGUAUUUCUGAGAUCGGCAUUCAUUACUUGUUUGCUUCUUCGUGUUGAUUUGAAAAACUCUAAAUGUCUAACUCUGGCAGGCUGUGCACAUAUGGUCAAAACAGUAGCCAUAGGAAGGAACAGAGUAGAGACUACGGGAGACCCCCCCUCACUACAGGUCCACAGUUUCCUGAUACAUGGUUCUAUCUGGAGGUUUUUCAUCUCUCCAAAUAGGCUGACAUUUCUUCAAUCCACAUCAUCUUGCCUUGGAGCCAGCAAUCUUUGCCUCUCGAUAUAUAUGUUUAUGGUCCACAGAUAUAGUGCACUGGAUUGGAUCCAUAGCAUUUAA
rnacentral:lncRNA from 1 species